UACAGAGGGGGCCAGCGUUAUUCGGAAUUAUUGGGCGUAAAGGGCGCGUAGGCGGCCAUGCGUGUCUUCCGUGAAAUCCCUCGGCUUAACCGAGGACGUGCGGAAGAAACUGCAAGGCUCGAGUCCGGAAGAGGGGGGCGGAAUUCCCAGUGUAGCGGUGAAAUGCGUAGAUAUUGGGAGGAACACCAGUGGCGAAGGCGGUCCCCUGGGCCGGAACUGACGCUGAGGCGCGACAGCGUGGGGAGCAAACAGG
rnacentral:rRNA from 1 species